AGGAGGCAGUAAACAGUUUUGAGCCGUUAGUGUCGAAUUGGCCGGGGUGAAAUUUACAAAUAAGAGGCAAUUUACGGAAUGAAGUGCAUAUUUGAACUUCUAAAUAAUAAUAAUUGCUAGAAUUGAAGUUUCAGCGGCUAGAAUUGAGUUUCACUUAUUUAAAAAAAAUCAGUUGAGUAGCCUUGAUCUUGAUAGUAUGACGUAAUGACUUGCAGGAGCGUAUACAUGCUUCCUCUGAGCUAGCUUAAAGUGGGGUUGUCAUUUUAGCAGGGACCUCAGGAAAACUGGAACAGUGAAGAAACGGUGUGUGAUUACAGACUUUUGUGUGAGGUUUUGAAAGUUAGGUAGGCGACUCUAGGCUGAGGAGCUCAGAAAACUGUUUACUGCCUCCUUAAGAGCAAAUCUUGAAAAUUUGUGUGUGGUUACAGACUUUUGUGUGAGGUUUUGAAAGUUAG